UUUGUCAUUUACUUGUGAGAGGUGGAAUGUUAGCGGCAGGACCACCGACUACAAGUCUAGCCAGCUGCUCUGGGAAAACUUCUUUGCAUAACCAUGAAGGACUGCUCUCUAUGAUCCACUCACCCCAUCCACAGGACAGAAGCAGCGGGAGGAGCAUACUCAGGUCACCUGGAACCGAUGGUGUAUCUCCAGGGUCUUACAACAGCAACUGGCUCAUCACGGGUAUUCAGGUAAUAGUUGCUGAG